rnacentral:rRNA from 1 species
UACGUAGGUGACAAGCGUUGUCCGGAUUUACUGGGCGUAAAGAGCGCGCAGGCGGUCGUUCAAGUCGAGUGGGAAAGCCCCCGGCUCAACUGGGGAGGGUCAUUCGAUACUGAUCGACUCGAAGGCAGGAGAGGGUAGUGGAAUUCCCGGUGUAGUGGUGAAAUGCGUAGAUACCGGGAGGAACACCAGUGGCGAAGGCGACUACCUGGCCUGUUCUUGACGCUGAGGCGCGAAAGCUAGGGGAGCAAACGGG